rnacentral:rRNA from 1 species
GCAAGUCGACGGCAGCGCGGGGCAACCUGGCGGCGAGUGGCGAACGGGUGAGUAAUAUAUCGGAACGUGCCCUGGAGUGGGGGAUAACGCAGCGAAAGUUGCGCUAAUACCGCAUACGAUCUAAGGAUGAAAGCGGGGGGUUCGCAAGAACCUUGUGCUCCUGGAGCGGCCGAUAUCUGAUUAGCUAGUUGGUGGGGUAAAGGCCUACCAAGGCAUCGAUCAGUAGCUGGUCUGAGAGGACGACCAGCCACACUGGAACUGAGACACGGUCCAGACUCCUACGGGAGGCAGCAGUGGGGAAUUUUGGACAAUGGGCGCAAGCCUGAUCCAGCAAUGCCGCGUGAGUGAAGAAGGCCUUCGGGUUGUAAAGCUCUUUUGUCAGGGAAGAAACGGUGAGUUCUAAUACAGUUCACUAAUGACGGUACCUGAAGAAUAAGCACCGGCUAACUACGUGCCAGCAGCCGCGGUAAUACGUAGGGUGCAAGCGUUAAUCGGAAUUACUGGGCGUAAAGCGUGCGCAGGCGGUUUUGUAAGUCUGUCGUGAAAUCCCCGGGCUCAACCUGGGAAUUGCGAUGGAGACUGCAAGGCUAGAAUCUGGCAGAGGGGGGUAGAAUUCCACGUGUAGCAGUGAAAUGCGUAGAGAUGUGGAGGAACACCGAUGGCGAAGGCAGCCCCCUGGGUCAAGAUUGACGCUCAUGCACGAAAGCGU